rnacentral:rRNA from 1 species
UACGUAGGGUGCAAGCGUUGUCCGGAAUUAUUGGGCGUAAAGAGCUCGUAGGCGGUCUGUUGCGUCGGCUGUGAAAUCCCGAGGCUCAACCUCGGGUCUGCAGUCGAUACGAGCAAACUAGAGUGUUGCAGGGGAGACUGGAAUUCCUGGUGUAGCGGUGAAAUGCGCAGAUAUCAGGAGGAACACCAAUGGCGAAGGCAGCACUCUGGGACGUGACUGACGCUGAGACGCGAAAGCGUGGGGAGCGAACUGG